UACGGAGGGGGCUAGCGUUAUUCGGAAUUAUUGGGCGUAAAGGGCGUGUAGGCGGCUUCGUGUGUCCCAUGUGAAAGCCCCCGGCUCAACCGGGGAACGGGCCUCGAGACGGGUCGCCUGGAGGCGAGGAGGGGGACCUGGAACUUCCGGUGGAGCGGUGAAAUGCGUUGAGAUCGGAAGGAACGCCGAUGGCGAAGGCAAGGUCCUGGACUCGGCCUGACGCUGAGGCGCGAAAGCCAGGGGAGCGAACGGG
rnacentral:rRNA from 1 species